rnacentral:rRNA from 1 species
GAUGAACGCUGGCGGCGUGCUUAACACAUGCAAGUCGAACGGACUUUACAUGAAACCUAGUGAUUGUAAAGUUAGUGGCGACGGGUGAGUAACGCGUGGGUAACCUGCCUUGUACAGGGGGACAACAGUUGGAAACGACUGCUAAUACCGCAUAAGCGCACAGAGCUGCAUGGCUCAGUGUGAAAAACUCUGGUGGUACAAGAUGGACCCGCGUCUGAUUAGCUAGUUGGGUGAGGGUUAAACGGCCCACCAAGGCGACGAUCAGUAGCCGGCCUGAGAGGUUGAACGGCCACAUUGGAACUGAGAUACGGUCCAGACUCCUACGGGAGGCAGCAGUGGGGAAUAUUGGGCAAUGGGCGAAAGCCUGACCCAGCGACGCCGCGUGCGGGAAGAAGGUCUUCGGAUUGUAAACCGCUGUAGACAGGGACGAAACAAAUGACGGUACCUGUAAAGUAAGCCACGGCUAACUACGUG